AAGAAUUGGUAAGGAGCAGAGGUGGUAUUUCAAAACCCAGCUCUGCCUACUUUUUGACAUGCUGACUUCUGUGGAACACCUUUGUCACUGUUUCAAUCAUUCCACAAAUUCAGAUGCAGUCCUGUAUAUUUUGGGUGUUUAGCAUGCACCAGACAUUUAUUUGUCUAAUUGUUUUGCCUAUAUCAUCCCAUUUGAGACCACACCUGUCAUGGGAGUUUGGGUGUGUCAUUCCCAUUUGCAGAUGAGAACUCUGAGUAUCAGAGACCUUCUAUUUUGUCUCUUCUCCCUCUAGGCAGGCUGCCCCAAACCAUCGCAGCAUUUACAUACCCAUUUCUUUGGUUAGAAUCCUCCCCAGCCACAGUCCCAUUCUCCUUGGACCUCCAGCUAGAAAGAAAUGGGGCCUGUUCAAGACUUUCUGUUGAUAAAAUGUUGGAGUCCCAACUCUACCACUCCAGAGCUGGGGCGACUUGGGAUUUGAGGUCUGCAUGGCAGGUCCCUGGAAGCUCUUUGAAGACUGAGAAGCACUGUGCACACAGGAGUUAUUUCUAUAACAGGAGUUAGUAGUGGCUCAAGCCUGGGAUUUCCAGGGACCAAGAAAAUUUAGUCCAACCAGGCCUAGGCCUUAAAAGUGGUUUACAUGAUAGAGGAGUGGAAUUGUGGCCUACCAGACUCCAACUCCCAUUCACCUUACCUGUCAGCCCACCUUCCAGGAUC